GACAGAGGGUGCAAACGUUGUUCGGAAUUACUGGGCGUAAAGCGAGUGUAGGCGGUUCGAUAAGUCGGAUGUGAAAGCCCCGGGCUCAACCCGGGAAGUGCACUCGAUACUGUCGAGCUAGAGUAUCGGAGAGGUUGGUGGAAUUCUCGGUGUAGCAGUGAAAUGCGUAGAUAUCGAGAGGAACACCAGUGGCGAAGGCGAGUCCCUGGACAACUCCUGACGCUGAGGCACGAAAGCUAGGGGAGCAAACAGG
rnacentral:rRNA from 1 species